rnacentral:rRNA from 1 species
UACAGAGGGUGCGAGCGUUAAUCGGAAUUACUGGGCGUAAAGGGCGCGUAGGCGGUGUAUUAAGUUAGAUGUGAAAUCCCUGGGCUUAACCUAGGAACUGCAUCUAAGACUGAUACGCUAGAGUGCGGUAGAGGAUAGUGGAAUUUCCGGUGUAGCGGUGAAAUGCGUAGAUAUCGGAAGGAACACCAGUGGCGAAGGCGGCUACCUGGACAGUUACUGACGCUCAGGCACGAAAGCAUGGGGAGCAAAAGGG